GCAGAUCUGGGAGAAAAGGGGCGACGACACUGUAGAAAAUCUCACCUCGCCGGAGCUUUGACCGGUCGUUUGGGUGGUCAAACGACCUCCGUUUCAGCUUAGAUUUGGAGGGGGUGUUCUAUUCGACGAGGGGAACAAUCCUACGAUGGCCAAUCGUAUUUUUAGCGGCUGAAUUCUUAGAUAUGUGGUAGGGGACCCUAACCCUAAAACUUAAAUUUUUAUGUUUUUCCCUUGAAAAAAAUUGUAAAUAUUGUCAUUAUGAGUUAAUUAGGAAUUAUGGGGAUUGUAUGAAUUUUUCUAGAAUAUUUGGAAUUUGUUUGGAAUUUUUGUAAUUGCGGGAAAUUGAUUUUGAUUGAUAAUUAAUUGUUUUGAAUUGUAAAAAAAUUAUUGGAAGGGUUGAAAAAUUCCAAAAUUAAGGCUAAAUUUCAAAAAUAGUGAUUGGUGAAUUUUUAGGCAUUAGUUAGAAAAUUUUUGGAAUUUUUAUGAUAGAAAGUUAGUUAAUUUCGAAUAUUAGAAAUUAUUAUAAUGGUUGAAAAAUUCCGUAAGUAUGGUAAAAUUUCAAGAUUUUUGAUAUGCAAAUUUUUGAAUAUUUAUUUGGGAUAUUAUCAGAAAUUUUAAUGUGUGAAAUUAUUUUAUUGGAUUAUUGGGGAAUGUUGAAAUUGUUGAAUUAUUGAGGAACCUUGGAAUUGUGGCAUUCAUUUUCAUCAUGGUUAUGUGGAAAAUAAAUAAAAUUAUGAAGAUUGUGAAAAGUGUAUGAAAUGGAAAAAAAAAAGAAAAGAAAUAGUGAUGAGAAGUGAAAGCCGUGUGGAGCGAAUUAAGAAGGGAGAGAGAUCCUUAGGGUGAAAGACCCAAAAGUUACCCCGGGAAGACUCCGAAUGGGGAGUGUAUUUGGGUGCGGACGCUUAUCCUUCGGUGAAAGCCCAAGAACAAUAGUGCAUUGUAUGACUGUGUGUCAUACGUUCAUGUGCAUUCAUGUAAUUGUUGAAUAUUGUGAAAUUGUGUAUAAAAUUAUAUAUUAAACUAUGUGGUUUGAUUGAUAUUGUUGAAUUGUCCUGUGGUGUUGAAGUGUUCUUUUCGUAUUCUUUGAAACUUAGUAAUCCCCUUAACCCCUUGGGUGUUAGGCACCCUACUAAGCAAUGUGGAAAUGCUCACCCCUUCCUUGUUACACUUUUUUAGAUGCAGAUAUCUCUCUUGAGGAUCCACAGGUGGAGCAGGAAGGACUUCAGGAUGCUCCUGGAGCGGCCUAGUGGAGCGUGACAUUUUCUGUUAUUGUGUUUUUUGUUUGGAUUUUGGGAUUUGUUUUAGUAAUUAUGACUCAUGGAUUUGUUAUGAAGCUUUAUUUUGAUUAAGUGUUAAUUGUGAACUUUUAUUUUGAACUAUAAUGAAUAUUUAUUUAAUCUUGUUGUUUUGAGUAGUUUUGGGAUAUUGUGGUUUAUGAGAAUUCUAGUGGGAUGUAUAAAAAAAAAAUCCAAAGUGUUUUGGUUGACUGCCAACGUGGAAUAAAAGGAACCCUUAGGGUCAAACCUUUGACCUGGGGUCACGGGUCAAAUUUUGGGUCGCCCGGAAUUUGGGUCGUGACAGAUGGCAAGGUCGAAGAUGUCGGGAGUGGUGUUGAGGUCCGACUGGAAGGAAUUAACGGACGAGAGAGUGAAGGUUUGUGAGUGUAUGAUGCGUUCUCUCGAGUCGGAUCAGAAUAGCUAUGUUUUUAAGCAAGUGGCGGGAUAUUUGGCUACAAAGAAACUCAGUUUUGUGUUGUUGGUAAGGAAUGAUGAGUGUGGGCCCCACUCUUACAUGGCCAUGGUCUCUGCACCACCUAAAAGACCAUAUCUCAUUAUUUAUUUAUUUUUUAUUAUUCUUCAUACCUUAAUAUCAAAGUUUAAUUUUUCAAGUUUCCAAUCCUUAAAACUUAAUUUUUCGAAAUUCUAUUCUUAAAUUUACUUUUUAAAAUAAUUUUCCAAAAUUCUAAUUUUUGAGUUUAAAUUUUCGAAACCCCAAUUUCUCUUGAAUUUAAUUUCUAAAAUUCCAAUUCUUAAAAAUAAUUUUCCAAAAUUCCAAUUCUUAAAUUCAAUUUUCUGAAACUCCAAUUUCUUAAAUUUAAUUCUUCAAAGUUCAAUCCUCGAAAUAAUUUUCUAAGGUUCUAAUUUUAAAUUUAAUUUUCCAAGAUCCAAAAUUUUAAAUUUAAUUUUCUAAAAAUUCCAUAAUUCCGAAUUUAAUUUUUAAAAUGUCACCUCCAAAUAAAUUUUUGAAACUCCAUUCCUUUCAAAUCAAAUAUUCAAAAAUUCAAUUCUCAAAUAAUUCUUCAAAAUUCUUUUUUCUUAGAUUUAAUCUUCAAAUUUCCAUUUUCAAAUAAUCUUUUUUUGAAAUUCUGAUUCUCAAAUUUAACUUCUAAAACUUUUAUUUUUAUUUUUUAUUUUAUAAUUCUUCGAAAUUUCGAUUUUCAAAAUUAAUUUCCAAAUUUCGAAUUUUCUCAUUUAUUUACUUAAUCAUUAUUAUUUUCGUUAUUUAUUUAUUUAUUUAUUUAUUUAUCUAUUUUUAAAAUUCCGAUUUCCAAAUUUAAUUCACAACUUUCAAAAUUCCAAAUUUUCAAUUUCUGAAUUUGAUUUUCAAUUCCCAAAAUUCCAAUUUUCACAUUUAUUUAUUAUUAUUAUCAUUACCGUUAUUAUUAUUAUUAUUAUUAUUAUUAUUAUUAUUAUCAUUAUUGUUUUAUUUAUUUUUUUUUUUGAAGAAAAAUUUCAUCUUCAAAUAAUUUUCAAGUUUCCAAUUUCUAUAAUUUAAUUUUCAAAACUUCGAUCCUCAAGUAAUCUUCCAUUUCUCUUGAUUUUACAUAAGUAAGAAUAAAUUUUCUUAAUUCCGAAAUAAUGAAAUUUGUGAGACCAAUUCAUGUUAGAUAAAUUGAGUUUUGGUAAGGGCCCUACCUAUGAGUUUUCUCUUCUGAUUGUUGAUUGUUAUAUUUAAUGAAUGUUGCUUAAUCUUAGUCUUGUUCUUUGAUUUGCAUGUGAUAAUUUUAUACUUGAACUAACAUUGUUUCCAUAAUAGCGCAUAAUGGCUUGCUGCUAAGGUACGCACCCACUCACACUUUGAUCGUUCUCCAUGCACGUUUUGGCUCCAAGUGUAUGAUCACUUCUUGGUAUAUGUGUUUGAUAAAUCAAUUGUCAUAUGUGCUUCAUUUCAUCAGUAGAGACCCAUUUUUAGGGACUUAGAGGGGUGUUAUGGUCUUUACUAUACCUUCCUAAUAAGUAACCUGACCCCCGAGCCCGAUUUGAUUUUUCACAGACCACAUUUUCCAAAUAAGGAGUCAUACUUAGAGUUUUCUUUCUUAUUUUGUUUACCCUUUAAAAAUAAAACAAAAAUAAGUGGCGACUCCAAGUCUUUUUUCUAAAAUUAAAAAAAAAACAUAUAAUAAUAAUAAUAAAUAAUAAAUCAUUUUCAAGUAGAAAACGAGUUUGCCAUUGAGUGGAAGUGCAUGAACCGAAAUACAGGGUCCACAAAAUGAUGACUCUAUUAGGGAUCAACUAGAGGGUUAAGCUUAAACUUAAGAUGAGGCAAAUGUGGCGUUUGAUGGGUCGAUCAGUGGGUACCUAUCUCUUGAUUGCACAUUGAGAGCUCUUGGUAUCAUUGGACGCAUGCUUGGUUAUUGUAUUCAUUUGGGACAUUGACAUGCUAAUUGUGUUGAUUGAGGAUUCUGAUAUAGCGAUGUUUCUAUGCUUCAUUGCUAUAUUCGUUUGAGACAUUGACACGUUGAUUGUAUUGAUUGAUUAUUUUGCUUGUCUUAGCAUAGUGACUUUGAUUUUGUCAUGAUUGUUCUGUUCACUUCACAUGCAUAGACUUACUGUUGUAUAUCAUUUGACUUGAUGUGUUGAUUCUCUGGCUUGGAUAUUAUCUUGAUCAUCUUUGAGCAUGUUGUAUUUGUCAUUAUUCAUUUUGAUUGUCAUAGCUUGUAUAUGGACAUGAGUGGUAUAUUCAUACUUUGCUUGAUUGUAUGUUGCAUGACUGCUCUCCUCUGUGUGAUUGCAUGCCGCUUGUCCGUGUUGGCCGCACAUCAAUCCUCUUACCUCCAACCCUCUAGUUUCGGUCAUUUCCUGAUAAUUUUAUACUUGAGUUAACAUUGUUUCCAUAAUAGCGCAUAAUGGCUUGCUGCUAAGGUAUGUACCCACUCACACUUUGAUUGUUCUCCAUGCACAUCUUGGCUCCCUGUGUAUGAUCACUUCUUGGUAUCCGCGUUUGAUCAAUCAAUUGUCAUAUGUGCUUCAUUUCAUCGGUAGAGACCCAUUUUUAGGGACUUAGAAAGGUGCUACGGUCUUUACUGUACCUUCUUAAUAAGUAACAUGACCUCCGAACCUGAUUUGGUUUUUCACAGACCACCUUUUCUAAAUAAGGAGUCACACUUAAAGUUUUUUUUCUUCUUAUUUUGUUUAUCCUUUAAAAAUAAAACAAAAAUAAAUGACGACUUCAAGUCAUUUUCUAAAAAAAAAAACAUAUAAUAAUAAUAAUAAUAAUAAAAUAAUAAAUCAUUUUCAAGUAGAAAGUGAGUUCACCAUCGAGUGAAAGUGCAUGAGCCGAAAUGCGGGGUUCACAAUACGUUUUUUAUUUAUUUAUUUUCUUUCGUUUUUUUAUCCUUCCACUUUUUCCUUCUAUUUUCUUUUUUUUUACAUUUUCUCUUGAAAUUUUCAAGAACUAAAUAUGACUUAAGGAAAAUGAUUUUCUUAUUAUUGUUUUAUUAUAAAAAUAUGAAAUAAAUAAAUAAAUAUAAUUAAAAUAAUUAGAAACUUAUGCGAUCUCACUUAUAUAGAAAAAUUAAAAUAAGUGAAAUGAAUAUGAAGUACCAUAUGAAAAUAAUUUAUUCACUUUAAAUAUAUUUUUAUUUUUCUUUACUUUUUAUUUUUUUCUACUUUUCCUUUCUUUUUUUUUUUUUCCUAUUUUUCCUCAAGUCUUGAAGGAACCAAACAUAAUCUAAUACAUUCCAUUUUCUACUACUAUUUAUUUUUUUAAUCUUUUACCCUCAUAUUUUCCCGGUAAGUAAACAUAUAUUAUUGAUUGGAAUGGAGGGGACUCAAAUUUUGAUCCUAGACAAAAGGUCCUAGUCAACAAAGAGGAUAGUCAUUAGCCACUCAACAUUUAUGGCCAAUUUAUAUCAAACAUUAUUGACAUGUUUGAUAACUAUUUUCAAAAAUAGUUCUACAAAAAUUAUUUUUGAUAAUAGUUUUCUGUUAUAUGAUAUUUUGUAAAGAAAAAAUAUGUUUGAAACUUCAAAUGUUUUUAAUCUAUUUUUAAUAUUUUUAAAUAUGUUUCAAAAAUAAUUUUUAUGCUUAAUGUUUUUUUAAUCAUUUUACAUCUUUUGCAUAAUUAUUUUUUUAAAACAACCUUUGGAAAAUAAAUAAAAAAACAAAAAAAAAAUUAAAAAUGUUAUCUAAAAAUACCUUAUUUUUUUGUUUUUAAGAACAAAAAACGCAAAACAAUUUUGGGUUGUUAAACAUGCUUUCCUAUUUUUUUUUUUUUUUUUGAAGAAUAGAAAAUUGCUUUUAAAAAUAGUUGUCAAAUAACCCUAUAUCUUUUCAUGUUACAAAAACCAAUCGUGUUUGAUAAUUAUUAACAAACAUAAUUUUCUAUUUUUUGGAAUAGAAAAUAUUUUUAAAAUUUUAAAAUUAUGUUUAACGGAUUUUGAAUUGAAGAUAGAUUGAGAAUUGAAAAUAUGAUUAUUUUUCAAAAUAAAUUUGAGGUGUUUUUUAUAGAGUGUUUUGAAAAAUACUUGAAUAUACAAAGAAUAGAUUGUAAACAUAGUAUUAUCUAAAUUUGUAUAUUGCUUUCAUGUAAGAUUAAUUGAGAAAAUGGUUGGCAAGAGUUGAAUUCUUAAAAAUGAUUUUGUUUCUAAAAUUCUAAAAAUAAAAAAUAAAAUUACUUUUGACCAAGUGUUAUCAAAAACUAUUAUUGAGAUUUUUUUUAAUACAUAAUAAAUUAGAGCCAUAUUAUUAUUAUUUUUUUUUCCUUUUAGAUUGCGUUAAACUUUAAUGUUUUUAAGGAAAGAUUUUUAGUUCUGUGUUAUGUCUCUUAUGUAUCUAAGUGGGUCUUUAGUAAACCAACUUUUAAAGUGAUUUAAUAACUUAAUUUAAGUUAUUAAUUAAAUUAAGUAUGUUUAGUAAAAUAAAUUAAUGAUAUGAUUUAGAGUAAAAAACAAUUUUAAGUAAUAAGUAAAAACAAUUAACUUAUUUUUAAGUUUAUAUCUUUAUUUUACCUUUUUACCCUUAUUUAUCCUAAUUACCUUAAGGAUCUCAUUUGCUACUCCAUGACCUCCAUUCUUACUCAACUUCCUUUGCCCUAAUUAUAAUUUAUGAGAAUAAAUAUAUAAAUUUGAUGACUUAAAAUAUAUUUUAAAUUAAUUUUAUCAAAUAACUUAAAAAUAAAAAUUAAAUAAUAAGUUUUAAGUUAAUAACUUAAUUAUAAUUUAAUUUAAAGUCAACUUAAGUCAUUAAGUAAUAAGUAUUAAGCUUUAUCAAACAUUCCCUAAGGUUAUAUUUGAUUCUUGAAAAGUUUGAGGGAAAAUGUAAGGGAAAGAAAAUAGAGAAGAAAAGUAAAAGGAAAGAGAAAGAGAAAGUGAAGGAAAAUAAAAAAUAGAUUUAAAAUAAAUAAAUAAUUUUUAUAUACUAUUUCAAACUUUUUUUUAUUAUUUAUUUAACUCUUCUAUAUAAAGAUUAAAUAAUUUAAAAAUAUACAAAUAUCUUAAUAAUUUUAAUUAUAUUUAACUUUCUUUUGUAUUUUUAUAAGAAAAUUAAAUAUGAGAAAAUUAUUUUCUUCAACAUUUUUUUUCUUUCCCUAAUAUUUUCUAAGAACCAAACAUAGCCUAAGUCCUUGCCUAAAGUAUGGAAUGUCUUUGGCUCAAAAUCAUAUAAUAUAUUUACUUAUAAUAAUUUUAAAAUAUAUAAUCAAUUUUAGGGUUAUAAAUUUAUUUAAAAGAGUAAAUAAAAUAUAUUGAUGGUGAUUACUUCUUGGUGAUCACCAUAAAAUGCAAUUAUAGAGUUCAAAUAUAUAUAAAAAAUAUGAAUAAAUUUUAUAAAAUUCAAUAACAUAUAUAAAAGAUAUUGAAGGUCUAUAAUCUUAUGAAGAUCAAUUAUAAACUUAUAAAAUGUGUUGAAAAUUUGAAAUUUGUUACACAUGUGGGCUGAAUGUUGAAUCAAUGCAAGUCUAAAGCUUGAGAACUUAGGCCCAAUUCCAUGGUGACUGCACCAUGGAAUUGGGCUCCAAGGGCUGGACAAGCCCAAUUCCAUGGUGCAGUGACCUUUUCUUUCUUUCUUUUUUAAUUUUGAAAACAUAGCGUGUUGAGCCUCGAGAAGCCCAGGUCCAAUUAGUAGCUGAAAUGAAAAUAAGACACACGUCUAAAAAAAUGUUUUUUUUUCUUGUUCUUUUAUAUAUAUAUAUAUAUAUAUAUAUAUAUAUAUAUAUAUAUUGAAACAUGAAAAAAAAUGACAUUUUUAAUAUUUUCCAAAAUGAUCCAUUCUAUUUUCUAACUUUAGAAAAAGAAAGAAAGAAAGAAACAUGUCUAAUUUGAAAUGGUAUGAAACUAACAAAAGAAAAUUUGAAAUAGUAUAAAUCGUUGUCAAAAUUUUUAAAAACUUUAUUUAUUUAUUAUUAUUUUUUAGUAAAUUUGCUCUCACACGCCAUAUAAAUUUUUAAGUAACCCUUUCGUGUAAGGUCAAGGGUCAGUUGCUUUUACAAACAAGUUUGAAACAAGAAAUUUAAGAAGUUGAUAUUUUUUCUAAACGGAUUAGAUAUCCAUCACUUUUCAUAUGAAAAAUUUUCAAAUGAUGAGAAAAAAGUUGACAAAAAUUUUAGAAGUGAAAAACUAGGAAAAGUAAAUUAAAAUUGGGGACCAUGUAAUUGAAUAUUCAACAAAAUUUUUUUAAAAAAAAACAAACAAAGAAUGAGAUCCAACAUUUGACUAUAUGAAAUAGGAAAGGAGGCAUGAGGCAUGCGUCUCUCACUACAUCAAGGUGUGAACAUGACCCAAGCUAGAGUAUCUGCAUACCUCAUUAUAUCUAUUCACCCAAGGCACCACCACACCUCGUGUGGAAAGAAUCAAAGCCACGCACCCAACACACUACACUUUGUUUUUUCUUUCAAACAAAUCUUUGUGCCAAUGCCCAUCUGGCUAGGUUUCCUCCUUUGGUGAUUGUGUGCUAUAAUGGAUAUGGUAUAGUGACACCCAUGAACAUAAACUUUUCAUGAAAUUUACACAAAAUUAUAAGGAUGUUAAUU
rnacentral:lncRNA from 1 species